rnacentral:rRNA from 1 species
UACGUAGGGUGCAAGCGUUAAUCGGAAUUACUGGGCGUAAAGCGCGCGUAGGCGGUUUUGCAAGUCGGGUGUGAAAUCCCCAGGCUUAACCUGGGAACUGCAUUCGAGACUGCAUUACUAGAGUAUGGGAGAGGGAAGUGGAAUUUCCGGUGUAGCGGUGAAAUGCGUAGAUAUCGGAAGGAACAUCAGUGGCGAAAGCGACUUCCUGGACCAAUACUGACGCUCAUGUGCGAAAGCGUGGGGAGCAAACAAG